rnacentral:rRNA from 1 species
AUUGAACGCUGGCGGCAGGCUUAACACAUGCAAGUCGAGCGGGGUGAUGGUGCUUGCACUAUCACUUAGCGGCGGACGGGUGAGUAAUGCUUAGGAAUCUGCCUAUUAGUGGGGGACAACAUCUCGAAAGGGAUGCUAAUACCGCAUACGUCCUACGGGAGAAAGCAGGGGAUCACUUGUGACCUUGCGCUAAUAGAUGAGCCUAAGUCGGGUUAGCUAGUUGGUGGGGUAAAGGCCUACCAAGGCGACAAUCUGUAGCGGGUCUGAGAGGAUGAUCCGCCACACUGGGACUGAGACACGGCCCAGACUCCUACGGGAGGCAGCAGUGGGGAAUAUUGGACAAUGGGGGGAACCCUGAUCCAGCCAUGCCGCGUGUGUGAAGAAGGCCUUAUGGUUGUAAAGCACUUUAAGCGAGGAGGAGGCUCUUUUGGUUAAUACCCAAGAUGAGUGGACGUUACUCGCAGAAUAAGCACCGGCUAACUCUGUGCCAGCCGCCGCGGUAA